UUUUUUUCAAAUUUAUAACAAUAAUUUCUAGUUCACAAGAGCAUGUUACCAGUACCCAAACACAGAAAACUGUUUACUAAAUAAACACUUUACCAGUUAGUCAAACAUUAUAGAAUGAAGCAGAUCACCUUAGAAACUCAAAGAGUUUAUAUGUGGGAUUCAAGAAACAUCCAAACAACUCCAAAGCUUUUCAUUCUGCCACUAAUGUUUAGUAACCUGGAUUUUCAAUCUAUGAAAUCUAGAAACUCUCUUGGAAAACUGGAUUUAGAGGUGUGGAGAAGGCAUGUACUGCUCUCCAUAAGUAACCAUUUUGGAAAAUGUAACUGCUAAAGAAGAUUUCAAAUCCUUGCAAGCUAAGCUUUUAGAAAAGAGUUGAGAAGUUUGGCAAACACAAUAUCUUGGCCUGCAUCCAGAUUUCAAUUCCAAAUGCCCCAAAAUCCAAGUUGCCAAACAAUCCCUAAAUUUAUACUAGGGCAAUCAAGGCGUCCCACCACAAGAUAGACCUAGAUUUCAUUUCUUUCAACAAGUCAACAUACGGCCUAAUCACUAUGAUAGAGAACUGAGACUCAAAAUCUAGAGGCCAGGGGUAGAUUGGUGUUCAAUAGGCAAUUUCAACUAAGAUAUGGACCGAGUUUUCAAAACGAUGUUUUCGAAUUUCACAGGAAAAAAAAAUAGUUUCAGCAAUAUUAAAAGAAAUGGCCAUAAUAAAGUGCAAUAAAAAUUGUUGAAAAGUUAGGAAAAAUUGAUAGAACCAACCAAGAGAAAAUCAAGCAUGAUUUUAGGGAAAAAAUGUACUUAAUGGAAAUUUUGAUUUACUUUAUGGUAAUCAUCCAAUUUUCUUUUCUGAAAAUUCCUCCAAUAGAAUGGUUAGGAUUGUCAACUCGGUGAUUUUUGGCAUAUGGUUCUUCCAUAGUGUACAUGAUUAUUGUUUUGAAGCUUAUACACAUUUGCCAUAUGUAUUAAGAGCCAGUCACUGAUAUAUCAAGUGAAAGGAAGUGACAAAAACCAUAGUCUAGGCAGAUCUGUUUUUGUCUCUAAUGCAUUCGUGCAAAUUUGAUUAAUUUACAGUUUAUAGUUAAUCCAACAGCUCUGUCCAUGUUAAGUGAAAGGAAGUGACAAACCAUAGUCUAUGCAAAUUUGCUUUUCUUCACUUAUGUAUUCGUCCGAAUUUGGUUUGACUUCUAAAGUUUAUAGCUAAUCUGCACCAUUGGACGUUGAGUGCUUUAUGCUAGUUCCCUAUGAGUUAUGCUCAAUCAUUGUUAUUAGGUUUCUUGAUUAAAAUCAAGGAGUUUUAUUUCCCUAUGAAUGAAAGUACAUGUGUAGCUAUAAUCUUGGGCCUUGGAUUAAAUGUUGUGUUUUAUCUUUUGAACAGGUUUCAUUUGAUUUGACAGAGUAUUUGGAACAGCAUCCAGAAGCAUCUAAGUGCGGGAUUGGGAUCUCUAGUUUUAGAAAAAAUGCCUUGUUUCAAGAUUACCAUGGACUCAAAACUUUCAGACAGACACGAGAGAAGGUUUGCUGGUUCCAACUCCAUAUUAUCCAGGGUGUUGUGUACUUGUUUCCCAUGACUCAUGCAUAUAAGAUGCAAAGAGUAUUCCCUACAAAAAUAUGCAUGAUUCUGCCCUUGGAUGUGUUGCUAGAGGUAGCUGUGGUGCAGUUUCUUUUGCAACAUGCCCUGCAGAUGGCACUAUCAGGUUAUGGGAUAUAGCUUUGUAGUCUGAUUUAGAGAUAAAGAAUGUUGGACUUGAAAUCCCCAUGAACUAACAACCCAAUUCUCUGAACAGUGACCAAGCAGGCACCAUAGGUAUAGUGACUUCAAAACUACAUUGUCAUCAUGCAAAUCCAUGGCUCAUUUCUCAGACUGUUAUAAGGUGUUUGUACAAUUUAGGAGCUGACUCUCAUAUGGCUUUUACCGGUGGUCACAAAACUGCUGGAGGUUUAACAUCCAGAUACCUUCCAUAAUAAAAGGAUCAAUAUCAAUAUUAUCCAAUGCAGGCUUGGGAAUGGCAAUAUUCAGUCCAAAUCCUAGCAUGUGGAAGAUCUGUAGCGGCAUUUUCAAUGGCUGUUAGAUUUCUAUAACGGGCCCAGCAGUAAUCGCAGCCACUUCGAUGGCCAUAGGCCUUUGUGGGGUACUGUUGCACCUUGUCACUGUUCAGGAUUUGAUCAAUUGUGCCUAAAUUUAGGCCCACAAGUACAUGAGCCUUUUGACGCCACUCAUGCUAGGAGUGGACAACGUGACAAUUUUUUUUUAGUGUAUUGAAGAACAUUUUCAAGUUAUUGUCAUAAAUAUUAUCAUUUUUUAGUUGUGAAGUAAUAUAUUUAUUUGUUUAAUUUUCA